rnacentral:rRNA from 1 species
AUAUCAAUAAGCGGAGGAAAAGAAACCAACAGGGAUUGCCCUAGUAACGGCGAGUGAAGCGGCAACAGCUCAAAUUUGAAAUCUGGCUCUCGGGCCCGAGUUGUAAUUUGUAGAGGAUGCUUUUGGUGCGGUGCCUUCCGAGUGCCCUGGAACGGGACGCCAUAGAGGGUGAGAGCCCCGUCUGGUUGGAUGCCAAUCCUCUGUAAAGCUCCUUCGACGAGUCGAGUAGUUUGGGAAUGCUGCUCUAAAUGGGAGGUAUAUGUCUUCUAAAGCUAAAUACCGGCCAGAGACCGAUAGCGCACAAGUAGAGUGAUCGAAAGAUGAAAAGCACUUUGAAAAGAGAGUUAAAAAGUACGUGAAAUUGUUGAAAGGGAAGCGUUUAUGACCAGACUUGGGCUUGGUUAAUCAUCCAGGGUUCUCCCUGGUGCACUUUUCCAGUCCAGGCCAGCAUCAGUUUGCUUCGGGGGAUAAAGGCUUCGGGAAUGUGGCUCUCUCCGGGGAGUGUUAUAGCCCGUUGCGUAAUACCCUGGGGCGGACUGAGGUACGCGCUUCUGCAAGGAUGCUGGCGUAAUGGUCAUCAACGACCCGUCUUGAAACACGGACCAAGGAGUCGUCUUCGUAUGCGAGUGUUCGGGUGUCAAACCCCUACGCGUAAUGAAAGUGAACGCAGGUGAGAGCUUCGGCGCAUCAUCGACCGAUCCUGAUGUUCUCGGAUGGAUUUGAGUAAGAGCAUACGGGGCCGGACCCGAAAGAAGGUGAACUAUGCUUGUAUAGGGUGAAGCCAGAGGAAACUCUGGUGGAGGCUCGCAGCGGUUCUGACGUGCAAAUCGAUCGUCAAAUAUGAGCAUGGGGGCGAAAGACUAAUCGAACCUUCUAGUAGCUGGUUUCCGCG